UCGGGAUAGCUCAGUUGGUAGAGCAGAGGACUGAA
rnacentral:tRNA from 10 species